rnacentral:rRNA from 1 species
UACGUAGGCGGCAAGCGUUGUUCGGAAUUACUGGGCGUAAAGAGUGCGUAGGCGGUCUGGUAAGUUUGGUGUGAAAUCUCCCGGCUCAACUGGGAGGGUGCGCCGAAAACUGCCGGGCUAGAGUAUGGGAGAGGGAAGUGGAAUUCCUGGUGUAGCGGUGAAAUGCGUAGAUAUCAGGAGGAACACCUGCGGUGUAGACGGCUUCCUGGACCAUUACUGACGCUGAGGCACGAAAGCGUGGGGAG